AGCGAACGCUGGCGGCAGGCCUAACACAUGCAAGUCGAACGAACUCUUCGGAGUUACUGCCGGACGGGUCAGUAACACGUUGGAACGUGCCUUUUGUUUCGCCUUAUCUUAGGGAAUCUUGUCCUAAUACCGAAUCUGCUCUUCCGGGCAAAGUUUUAUCGCCAUUAGAGCGUCUUGCGUCUGAUUAGUUAGUUGUUGAGGUAACUGCUCACCAAUGCUACGAUCAGUAGAUGGUUUGAGAGGAUGACCAGCCACACUGGUACUGAGACACGGCCCAGAAUACUACGGGAGGAAGCAGUGGGGAAUCUUGCGAAAUGGGGGAAAGGAUGAAGCAGCCAGGACGAGUGAAUGAUGAAGGUCGUAGGAUAGUAAAAUUAUUUCACAGGGGACGAUAAUGACGGUACCAGGAGAAGAAGCCCCGGCUAACUUCGUG
rnacentral:rRNA from 1 species